GAUGAAGAACGCAGCGAAAUGCGAUACGUAGUGUGAAUUGCAGAAUUCAGUGAAUCAUCGAGUCUUUGAACGCACAUUGCGCCCUCUGGUAUUCCGGAGGGCAUGCCUGUCCGAGCGUCAUUGCUGCCCUCCAGCCCGGCUGGUGUGUUGGGCCCCGUCCCCCUUCCCGGGGGGACGGGCCCGAAAGGCAGCGGCGGCACCGCGUCCGGUCCUCGAGCGUAUGGGGCUUUGUCACCCGCUCUUGUAGGCCCGGCCGGCGCCAGCCGACCCCCUCAAUCUAUUUUUCAGGUUGACCUCGGAUCAGGUAGGGAUACCCGCUGAACUUAAGCAUAUCAAUAAGCGGAGGA
rnacentral:misc_RNA from 1 species